CUGAGAGGCGGUGUGACCAGGCCAAAAUUGGCCGUCGAU
rnacentral:misc_RNA from 1 species